AGCAGCCGCGGUAAUUCCAGCUCCAAUAGCGUAUAUUAAAGUUGUUGCAGUUAAAAAGCUCGUAGUUGAAUUUCGGGGUUAGUAGAUUGGUCAUGCCUCUGGUAUGUACUGGUCUCACUGAUUCCUCCUUCCUGAUGAACCUUAAUGCCAUUAAUUUGGUGUUUUGGGGAAUUUGGACUGUUACUUUGAAAAAAUUAGAGUGUUUAAAGCAAGCUAACGCUUGAAUACAUUAGCAUGGAAUAAUGAAAUAGGACGUUCGAUCCUAUUUUGUUGGUUUCUAGGAUUGACGUAAUGAUUAAUAGGGAUAGUUGGGGGCAUUAGUAUUCGAUUGUCAGAGGUGAAAUUCUUGGAUUUAUUGAAGACUAACUACUGCGAAAGCAUUUGCCAAGGAUGUUUUCAUUAAUCAAGAACGAAAGUUAGGGGAUCGAAGACGAUCAGAUACCGUCGUAGUCUUAACCAUAAACUAUGCCGACUAGGGAUCGGAUGAUGUUAAUUUUUUAAUGACUCAUUCGGCGCCUUA
rnacentral:rRNA from 1 species